UACAGAGGGUGCGAGCGUUAAUCGGAAUUACUGGGCGUAAAGCGUGCGUAGACGGUUAUCUAAGUCGGAUGUGAAAGCCCCGGGCUCAACCUGGGAAUUGCAUUCGAGACUGAAUAGCUAGGGUGCGGUAGAGGGAAGCGGAAUUUCCGGUGUAGCGGUGAAAUGCGUAGAUAUCGGAAGGAACAUCAGUGGCGAAAGCGGCUUCCUGGUCCAGCACCGACGUUCAGGCACGAAAGCGUGGGGAGCAAACAGG
rnacentral:rRNA from 1 species